rnacentral:rRNA from 1 species
GACGAACGCUGGCGGCGUGCUUAACACAUGCAAGUCGAACGGAAAGGCCCUGCUUUUGUGGGGUGCUCGAGUGGCGAACGGGUGAGUAACACGUGAGUAACCUGCCCUUGACUUUGGGAUAACUUCAGGAAACUGGGGCUAAUACCGGAUAGGAGCUCCUGCUGCAUGGUGGGGGUUGGAAAGUUUCGGCGGUUGGGGAUGGACUCGCGGCUUAGCAGCUUGUUGGUGGGGUAGUGGCUUACCGAGGCUUUGACGGGUAGCCGGCCUGAGAGGGUGACCGGCCACAUUGGGACUGAGAUACGGCCCAGACUCCUACGGGAGGCAGCAGUGGGGAAUAUUGCACAAUGGGCGGAAGCCUGAUGCAGCAACGCCGCGUGCGGGAUGACGGCCUUCGGGUUGUAAACCGCUUUCGCCUGUGACGAAGCGUGAGUGACGGUAAUGGGUAAAGAAGCACCGGCUAACUACGUG